GUUUACCUCUCCCUAUGUUGUCCCAGCCCCAAGGUGAUGUUUACCUCUCCUCUCCCUAUGUUGUCCCAACCCCAAGGUGAUGUUUACCUCUCCUCUCCCUAUGUUGUCCCAGCCCCAAGGUGAUGUUUACCUCUCCCUAUGUUGUCCCAGCCCCAAGGUGAUGUUUACCUCUCCUCUCCCUAUGUUGUCCCAGUCCCAAGGUGGUGUUUACCUCUCCCUAUGUUGUCCCAACCCCAAGGUGAUGUUUACCUCUCCCUAUGUUGUCCCAUCCCCA